GGGAGGGAAAGAAGGAAAAGAAGAGCUAGAGAGGCGGAAAGGAAAGGGAGAGCGUAGCGAGCGCGCAGAUGGAGAGCGAACCAAGGCAAGCAGAGCUGAGCGCUGGAGGCGCGGCGCUCCGCUCCCGCGGUGAUUCCGUGCCUGCUUUUGCGGGAGGCCGGCGGCGCGGGGCCCUUUGGAAAUAGAAUAGCCAAUGUAAUCUGACACUUCAACUUGCUCGGCUCCGGGCGAGUUGAUUCACUUACUCACCCCCUAACGCCGAGUUCCUUUUCACUGUCUGUGGACAUUAAAAAAGCGAGCGGCGGCGGCGGGCGCCCGGGAGAGCGAGCGGCCGGGCGGGCCAGCAGUGAUCGGGCCGCGGAGCAAGCGAGCAGCGCCGGCGCAGCGCAGUGACCCCAGCCCCGGCCGGCUAGGAGCCGGAGCGGGAGUCGGAGCCGAGCGGAUCUCCUCACUCUCCCUGCGCUCCUCCCGGCUCCAGCCGGCCCUACCCGGCAGUGGCGGCGGCGCGUCCUCCAGCGGUGGCAGUGGUGCUCGCAGCGCCCGAACUUGUGGCCGCUGUGCUCAGACAGCAUAGAGCCCACUCAGCACCUCCUUCACCGCAGCCUCCCUUCCCCAACAUUGCAACAGCCUUGAGUUGUGAUCGACUGACGGAAGCCUUAGCAGGAGGAUGGACCUUGAGUGAAGUGGAGGGGCUGGGAGCUGCCGACCAGUGCAGGGACACGAGCAACUCUUGGCUCACGGA